AAUCAGCGGCGGCGUUACUUUUGCGGCUCCACGUCGGCACCAGCUGCGGGGCAAGAUGGAGGCGCUGAUUUUGGAACCUUCCCUGUAUACUGUCAAAGCCAUCCUGAUUCUGGACAAUGAUGGAGAUCGACUUUUUGCCAAGUACUAUGACGACACCUACCCCAGUGUCAAGGAGCAAAAGGCCUUUGAGAAGAACAUUUUCAACAAGACCCAUCGGACUGACAGUAGGUCAUUUUCCUUUCACUACUACCCGUGCUGGGGGGAACCAUGGUGGAAAGGGGGUGGUAACAGGGCUGUGGAGAAAGGAUGAAAUGACUCUGCCUUUUUCUUUUUUUUUCCUUCCUUCCCUUGUAUAAUAAACUCUUCAGAAUGUAAUGGGGAGGUGAGUGUACCUCACGCGGGAAUACCAUGCUGGAAGGUUGGCUGUUAGCUACCUGUCUAGUCCCUGGAUUUAUGAGCCUCACUUGACAAAUUUAAUUGCAGCUCUGCCUAUUGUACCGCAUCCAUUAGGGCAGGUAAAUGGAAGUCUGUAAAGGUGACCGCUCUGCAUUUUCACCUCUGAAGGAU
rnacentral:sRNA from 1 species